GGUGUCGGGAAACCGAUGAAAAGGGAAACAGGUGAAAAACCUGUGCGAGCUCGUCACUGUAAGCUGAUAAGCGAAAACCGGGGGAAACAGGCCCCGGCCACUGGAAACGGGAAGGCGUUUUCGCGGAACAUCAGCGAGCCAGGAGACCUGCCGGCUGUUC
rnacentral:ncRNA from 1 species